CCCGCUCCGAUGCUCCGCCGUCUCGCUUCUCCAUCUCCACGCCAUGCAUGUCGCAGGCCUUGCCUUUGUGGCUUUAUUUGUCGCCCAUCCCUCGUCGCCGGCGGCCAUCCGGGACGCGGGAGCUCGCGGCGCCUGAUGGGGCGGACAGCGGCGCAGGAAGAAGCAGGAGCUUGCCAUCACAUGCGUAGGCGUUGGCCCUGCAUCAGCCGACCAAGUCCUCUGCACCUCCGUGCUCCGUGCUGAGCCUACCGCUAGCAGCAGCAACAGGUCUCGGUAAUACCAUUGCUUAGGAAAAACAAGUGAUGUUUUCUAUCAUUAGAGUUCCUCUCAUUACAAGAGAGAGUGAUGUGCUACAAAACUGUUGUCACGGUGGGACUUGGUCGUGAUUAACAGCGAUCAUCGCAAUGAAGCCGUGUCUAUUUUAUAUUUUCAU
rnacentral:lncRNA from 7 species